rnacentral:rRNA from 1 species
GACGAACGCUGGCGGCGUGCUUAACACAUGCAAGUCGAACGGAAAGGCCCUGCUUUUGUGGGGUGCUCGAGUGGCGAACGGGUGAGUAACACGUGAGUAACCUGCCCUUGACUUUGGGAUAACUUCAGGAAACUGGGGCUAAUACCGGAUAGGAGCUCCUGCUGCAUGGUGGGGGUUGGAAAGUUUCGGCGGUUGGGGAUGGACUCGCGGCUUAUCAGCUUGUUGGUGGGGUAGUGGCUUACCAAGGCUUUGACGGGUAGCCGGCCUGAGAGGGUGACCGGCCAAAUUGGGACUGAGAUACGGCCCAGACUCCUACGGGAGGCAGCAGUGGGGAAUAUUGCACAAUGGGCGGAAGCCUGAUGCAGCAAAGCCGCGUGCGGGAUGACGGCCUUCGGGUUGUAAACCGCUUUCGCCUGUGACGAAGCGUGAGUGACGGUAAUGGGUAAAGAAGCACCGGCUAACUACGUG